UUGUUAAAAAUUAUUUAAUUUAUGUAAACAUUGCAUAAGGUUUUUCCCUAUAAAAAGUGAUCAAACAAUUUUACAUUUUUUAUAUGUAAAUUUGAAAAAAUGGUUGAAAUUCUCAACUUUGUUUAUUUUCUUAUCCUUUUUAUUUCUCUAUUUCUUGAUGUAGUCAAAGGUCAUGAUCAAAGGGAGUGUUAUACUAACUAUGAUUGUUGUGUAAAAUAUUCUUGUCCUUAUAAACAUAUGGUGAAGUGCGUUGGUGGUUAUUGUUUGGGCUUUCGCAAUGACUAUGGUAAAAAAAAUCUCUAUUAGAAUAUCCUCACAACGAGAAUGAGAAGUGGUAUCAAGGUGUUUGAUUACGAGUGUAAAAUGGAUAAUCAUUUUCUCAUCUAUAUUAUAUUUUUCUUGAAUUUUUUUUGUAUUAUUGUUUAUGUUUAAAUUGGAUUCUAGGAUCUGAUAUUGGAACACCAAAGUCUAGUUUUAUACUCUAGUGUUGACUUGUUUUAUUAUGUAUUUAAUUAUAUAUAAGAAUAAUUGUAAUAUUCUCCUAAGAAAAAUAUUUUAUGUUGAAUUAUGA